rnacentral:rRNA from 1 species
GGCGGCAGGCCUAACACAUGCAAGUCGAGCGGUAGAGAGGUGCUUGCACCUCUUGAGAGCGGCGGACGGGUGAGUAAUACCUAGGAAUCUGCCUGGUAGAGGGGGAUAACGUUCGGAAACGGACGCUAAUACCGCAUACGUCCUACGGGAGAAAGCAGGGGACCUUCGGGCCUUGCGCUAUCAGGUGAGCCUAGGUCGGAUUAGCUAGUUGGUGAGGUAAUGGCUCACCAAGGCUACGAUCCGUAACUGGUCUGAGAGGAUGAUCAGUCACACUGGAACUGAGACACGGUCCAGACUCCUACGGGAGGCAGCAGUGGGGAAUAUUGGACAAUGGGCGAAAGCCUGAUCCAGCCAUGCCGCGUGUGUGAAGAAGGUCUUCGGAUUGUAAAGCACUUUAAGUUGGGAGGAAGGGCAUUAACCUAAUACGUUAGUGCUUUGACGUUACCGACAGAAUAAGCACCGGCUAACUCUGUGCCAGCAGCCGCGGUAAUACAGAGGGUGCAAGCGUUAAUCGGAAUUACUGGGCGUAAAGCGCGCGUAGGUGGUUUGUUAAGUUGAAUGUGAAAUCCCCGGGCUCAACCUGGGAACUGCAUCCAAAACUGGCAAGCUAGAGUAUGGUAGAGGGUAGUGGAAUUUCCUGUGUAGCGGUGAAAUGCGUAGAUAUAGGAAGGAACACCAGUGGCGAAGGCGACUACCUGGACUGAUACUGACACUGAGGCGCGAAAGCGUGGGGAGCAAACAGGAUUAGAUACCCUGGUAGUCC